AUUGAACGCUGGCGGCAUGCUUUACACAUGCAAGUCGAACGGCAGCGCGGGCUUCGGCCUGGCGGCGAGUGGCGAACGGGUGAGUAAUACAUCGGAACGUGCCCAGUAGUGGGGGAUAGCUCGGCGAAAGCCGGAUUAAUACCGCAUACGACCUGAGGGUGAAAGCGGGGGAUCUUCGGACCUCGCGCUAUUGAGCGGCCGAUGGCAGAUUAGCUAGUUGGUGGGGUAAAGGCCUACCAAGGCGACGAUCUGUAGCUGGUCUGAGAGGACGACCAGCCACACUGGGACUGAGACACGGCCCAGACUCCUACGGGAGGCAGCAGUGGGGAAUUUUGGACAAUGGGCGAAAGCCUGAUCCAGCAAUGCCGCGUGUGUGAUGAAGGCCUUCGGGUUGUAAAGCACUUUUGGCGGGAACGAAAAGGACUGUGCCAAUACCACGGUUCGAUGACGGUACCCGCAGAAUAAGCACCGGCUAACUACGUG
rnacentral:rRNA from 1 species